AACGAACGCUGGCGGCAGGCUUAACACAUGCAAGUCGAGCGCCCCGCAAGGGGAGCGGCAGACGGGUGAGUAACGCGUGGGAAUCUACCCAUCUCUACGGAAUAACGCAUGGAAACGUGUGCUAAUACCGUAUACGUCCUUCGGGCGAAAGAUUUAUCGGAGAUGGAUGAGCCCGCGUUGGAUUAGCUAGUUGGUGGGGUAAAGGCCUACCAAGGCGACGAUCCAUAGCUGGUCUGAGAGGAUGAUCAGCCACACUGGGACUGAGACACGGCCCAGACUCCUACGGGAGGCAGCAGUGGGGAAUAUUGGACAAUGGGCGCAAGCCUGAUCCAGCCAUGCCGCGUGAGUGAUGAAGGCCCUAGGGUUGUAAAGCUCUUUCACCGGUGAAGAUAAUGACGGUAACCGGAGAAGAAGCCCCGGCUAACUUUGAGCCAGCCGCCGCCGUAAGAC
rnacentral:rRNA from 1 species